rnacentral:lncRNA from 1 species
AGAUUGAGAGGUAUAUAAAAGAUUAAACAAGAUCAAUGAUUUAAUCAAAAAAUAAUGAGGUUCUAAACUACCUUGAGAUUUGGUUUAGGAUUUAGAAUUGAUUAGGAUUUGAUUUAGGAAUUAGGAUUUGGUUAAGUUAUGAUUAAGAUUUGAUUUAGGAUUUAUGAUUUGAUUAAGGUUUGCUCAAGGUUUGGUUAGAAUUUGAUUCAAGAUUUAGGAUUUGAUUAGGAUUUGAUUAGGAUUUGAUUUAAGGUUUAGGAUUUGGUUGAGAUUUGAUUUAGAAUUUAGGAUUUGGUUAAGAUUUGAUUUAGGAUUUAGGAUUUGGUUUAGGAUUUGAUUGAAGUCUAUUAGGAUUUCAAUUAAGAUUAAAUUAGAACUUAGUUGAGAUUUAUUUAAGAUAUAUUGUGAUAAUUUUAAUAUUUUUUUAAGGCUUCUUAAGGAUUCUUUUAAGAUUUAUUGUGGAUUAUCUUUCAACUCCUUUAAGAUUUCUUAUUGUCUCUUUUGUAAUUUUUUUAAGGUUUCUUUUUGAAUUUGAUUGAAGCUUAUUUAGCAUUGUUAAGGUUUAAUUAGAAUUUCUUUAAUAUUCUAUUAGAAUUAAAAUUUUGUUAUUGUAAUUUUCAUUCUACCUUCCACAAUCAAGUGCCCGAUGCACUCUCAAGCAACACUUCACGUAUUACGACACCGCAUUUCUACAGCGAUUUUUAAUGUUGCAUAUGGCCCCGAGCAUUUACGACAUAUUCGAAUCCAUCCAAUUUUCUAUGUUUUCCAAUUGAAAAAAUUUCAUACUAAGCCAAAGUGCUUUUUGGAUUGAUACCAACCACCACCACCACCAGUUGUAGUUAAUAAUCAAAAAGAAUAUGAAGUAGAUAGCAUUUUGGAGCAUUACUACAUUUACCAUGGUAGUGGACAUUUACAACUUCAAUACAAAGUUUUUUAGAAAGGUUAUUCCAUUCACAAUGCAAUAAGGGAACUUGCUUAAAACCUCACCUUUUGCCAAGAGACAAUUUGGAGAUACCAUUGGGAGCGAAACGAGGAUGUUCCACAUUAGUGGAGAGAGAUUAAUUGUAUCAGGGUAUAGAUAAGGUAUUUAUAUAUGGAUAAAUAGUUAGAACCAUGGAAGUUUCUAGAAGUGGGGUUAGGUUAGUAGACUAGGGAGA